GGCUUAGUGUGUGUUUGCGUGUAUUGUCUUAACGCUGGUGAUUCCACUGAAACAUUCGGAAGCAGUAUCGUUGUCUUGUGCCCUUUCAGGAGCUUCAACGUGUGAGAUAAGGAUGAUGCCCAGACUGCCUCUUUAUCAAAGCUAACGGCUCCCCCCCGACCCAGAAACCAUUAAGAUAAGAUGUGGGAGGCAUUGACGAACCGUAUCAUUGAUUCUUUGGAGAUUCUUGAGAGAGGAGGGGAAAGCAACGCUGUCUUUCCUUAACUCCCACAAGCCAGGAAAUAUGCAUCAGAUGAUGUAAUAAA
ensembl:lncRNA